GUCUCCUCCGGGACGUCCGAUAAAAUUGGAACGAUACAGCCUGCGCAAGGAUGGCACGCACAAAUCGAGAAAUGGUCCAAAUUUUU
rnacentral:snRNA from 3 species